rnacentral:tRNA from 1 species
GCAGCCGUAGCCCAGUUGGUUUAGAGCGCCUGACUGUGGAUCAGGAGGUCGUGGGUUCAAAUCCCGCCGGCUGUACCA